CCUGGUGGCUCAAACGGUAAAGAAUCUGCCUGCAAUGCAGGAGACCUGGGUUUAAUCCCAGGAUCAGGA
rnacentral:tRNA from 1 species